UACAGAGGUCUCAAGCGUUGUUCGGAUUCAUUGGGCGUAAAGGGUGUGUAGGUGGCGCCGUAAGUCGGGUGUGAAAUCUCGGAGCUUAACUCCGAAACUGCAUUCGAUACUGCCGUGCUUGAGGACUGGAGAGGAGACUGGAAUUUACGGUGUAGCGGUGAAAUGCGUAGAUAUCGUAAGGAAGACCAGUGGCGAAGGCGGGUCUCUGGACAGUUCCUGACGCUGAGGCACGAAGGUCAGGGGGAGCAAACGGG
rnacentral:rRNA from 1 species